UUCAGCGUGAGCCCAAGUGGUUCCUCAGCAGCAGACACUCAUGGGCAUGAUCCUGGCACUCGCUGAUGUUUGUCUGACAGCUGCGUGUGCUUCGGCCAAAGCUGCAGUAAGUGACCUACCAGGUUCCGCGGAGGAAGCCUGACCCUGCCAUUCCCCACUGAGUCAGGAGGUCAAGUGAGAAUUCCACUGAUGUCUUUAAAUAGUCUUGGCUGCAACAAGCUAACGUAGGGGAGGAUUUUGGAGUGUGCCAGUGUGCGCCUGGCAGGGAUAGGCAGGUCUGCAGUUGCUGCUGGAGGGGGAAUUUGGAGGAGACUUCCUUAGCUGCCUCUAAGUGACACUGACCACAUGUUUAACCUUUACCAGAAGAGACUUUUCAGGGCUCUCUGAUGGAAUGCAGUGGAAAUAACUCCCAGAACAUCGCUGGACAAGGUUUUGAAAUUCCAGGGCACUAGGCUUCUGGUUUCUUUGUACAUGGACAUAGAAGAACCCAAAUGUCAUUCUCACCCUCAGAAAGUAUGAUGAAUUUCAUUCCAGGCAAAGGUGGAUUCACUGCGAAGUUAACACAGCUUAAACUUCAGCACCCCUCACAUGCCCGGGACACUCCCAAGGCACUAGGUGAGGCCACAGUCAUGUGUUCAUAUUGAAAAUAAACUGUAAAAGUUAGGCAUUUUAGCUGCAAUCCACUUGGAAUUCUCUCUGUCACACUUCCCCUCAGUUUAGGUGGCAAGAGAGUGGCCAAACAUUUUUGGGGUCUAGCCGAAAGAACUUGGAUAAGAAAUGCAUCUUCUUGGCAGGGCACAGUGGCUCAUGCCUGUAAUCCCAGCACUUUGGGACGCCAAGGCAGGCGGAUCACAAG